UAACUGUACACACACAGCGCCAGUGUGAGACACUGGAUUCUAUCUGUACACACACACAGCACCAGUGUGAGACACUGGAUUCUAACUGUACACACACAGCGCCAGUGUGAGACACUGGAUUCUAACUGUACACACACAGCACGAGUGAGAGACAGUAGAUUCUAACUGUACACACACAGCGCCAGUGUGAGACAGUAGAUUCUAUCUGUACACACUGGUGCCGCUGCAGGUCUGGCCUGUGUUCCCAGUCUCUCACUGUCGCUGUCCGUUCAGCACCACAGCGCUCAACAGUGCAAUGCAGGCAGGAGAGGAGGCUGGAGCCAGGAUCCACUCUCCAAGAGUCAAGAGUGUGUGUGUGAGCACUCAGCCUUCACCAGCCAAUCAGAGAGGAGAUGCUGGGAUGAUGCUGUCCUUGGGAAUGACCUUGCAGUGGGUUUAGGAAACAGAGAGAUAAUGGCAAGAGAGAUCACAGAGAAUCCCUCAGUCAUAAUCACACACAGUAGGACAGGGGACACAGUGAGAGAGAGGAGAGCACAGAGAAUCACUCAGUAUUAACCCCUCUCUCUCAGUGCAGCGUUAAUGUACUGGAGUGUCCAGUCAGUGUGUCUGUAU
rnacentral:lncRNA from 1 species